UUGUAUAUCUGUUAAUUUCUUACUGAAUCUGCAUGUGUUGAUUAUAUACAUUGCUUUAAAUAGCUAAUAUUUUAUUCAUUAAUUGAGAUUUCAUAGAUUUAUGUACUUCUUACAUUUAAUAGGUAAGUUUUCUUUACAGGAUCAGUGGUAGACUAAUCCAAUAGUAAUACAUAAUGUUUCAUUGGAAAGAAAAAUCUUAAUGACAGUAAACUAUAAAUUGUCAUCAAAACUUAAUUCUUAACGUUUUUAUACCUAAAAUUAAGAUUUAAUAAUAGAGUAUAAAAGAUCAUUCUUUAUGGGUCAUUGACAUAGAGGGUAGUAUUCAAAUAUGAAUUUGUGUCUAUGAUUCAUGAUAAACUAAAUUCACCUAAACAAAUCUUAGUGAUUUACCUCAGCAUGAGGGAAAUAAAAUUCAUAAGAACCAGAAGACAAUCUGUUGAUUCUUGAAAUAAACAGCUGUCACACCUCUUCCCAAUACACCAGUGAUCACAAGAUGAUUUAUACUUGACCAUGGUUGUAUAUUUGAUUUAGCCAUGGCUACAUGUGAAUUUUGCUGAUGUGGUUUGGUUUAUAGCCACGGUGUAGAUCAAAUUGAUUUGAUAAUUUCUCCAAAUGAUGAUGGAAAAAACUCAAAAAAGCCUUAAUGCCUUCUUAGGCCUGCAUGAAUCAUUUCAUUGAGCUUUUGUGAGUAAUAGUGGACAAAUUUAUUAAAUAAGAACGGAAGAUAAAAUGUUAUAUAUGUGGAAAUGAAGACGUGAUUGAAAAAUUAAUUGAAUUGUGUGAUGCCAUGAAGCAAACUAUACGAACAAAGACAAGUGAAGGAAGAGUACAACUGCCAAUUCUAACCAAUUUGGAUACGAGGCUUCAUUGAGUUUGUUAUAUGCAUGAUAACAAUAUAGCUACUCUCAGGAUAUUUUUAAUUUUAACUAAUGUCAUUAUAACAGCUUUUGGAAAUGAUGCAAUCUUAAAUGUACAGAUUACAUUAUAGUUUUCUUUUCCUUGAAAUGCAAAAAGAAAAAGAAAACAUUGCAUCCAUCCAGUGUGAUCAACUUCAGUAAUCCCAUAACCCCUACACUUUUUUAUCUGC
rnacentral:lncRNA from 1 species